CACUAAGAAGCUAAAUAGGAAAUCAGCGUUAGCCUUUUAAGCUAAAGAAUGGUGGCCUCCAACCACCCCUAGUGA
rnacentral:tRNA from 1 species